CAAAAACAUGUUUUUUUGAUUAUAAUUUAAAGUCUAACCUGCCCAAUGAGGAGUUAAAUGGCCGCGGUAAUUUGACCGUGCAAAGGUAGCAUAAUCAUUAGUUUUUUAAUUGAAAGCUGGAAUGAAUGGUUGGACGAGAAAAUAACUGUCUCAAUUUAAUUGGAAUUAGAAUUUUAUUUAUAAGUAAAAAAGCUUAUAUGAAUUUAAAAGACGAGAAGACCCUAUAGAAUUUAAUAUAUUAAUAUGUUUAUUAUUUUAGAAUUUUUAUUUAUAUAUAUAGAAGUAUAUUUUGUUGGGGCGAUAGAAAAAUUAAUUAAACUUUUUUUAUAUUUUAACAUUAAUGUAUGUGUAAGUGAUCCGUUUAUUACGAUUAAAAGAUUAAAUUACCUUAGGGAUAACAGCGUAAUUUUUUUUUAGAGUUCUUAUCGAAAAAAGAGUUUGCGACCUCGAUGUUGGAUUAAAAUUAACUUUUGGUGUAGGGGCU
rnacentral:rRNA from 1 species